UGCAGCUGCAAGAGGCGCGGCUGUUCGGCGGCCGGCUCGACCCGCGCCAGCGCGAGGUGGAUCGUAUCCGCGCCGUCUACAGGUCGCGCUUCGAACGAGAGCGGUGCGCACAGCGGCCGCCAGCUGGCGCCACCUGGCACGAGAACAAUCCGCUGCCGGCGCCGGCGCCGCACCGCCAGGCUCCCCGCUGGUCACAUAGUGAGCUGGCCUGCCUGGGCUGCACCUGUCCUCACUGCCUGCUGGCACCCGCUGACCGGGAGCGGGCGCUGAAGCGGCGCUCGUACGCCGAGCCAAGGCAAGGCGCCUGCUCUGAGAACCAGCGCAACCUUUCCAUCGCCGCCGCGUCUUCUGCGGCCGUUCCGCGUCAGCCGACCGCGACACGAGCGCAGCAGAAGACAUACGGACAGGGCUCGGAUGAGCACCGCACGACACUGUGUGGAGAGAGCCGAAGCUCGCACAGCAAACCUGCGCCCACCAGCCGCCGCCAGUUGCCAGCAUCCGACGAG